UUGAGUGUCCUUUCAGUGUAACGGUUAUUGGGGAAAUUUUUUUUUUAAAGAUUGGCACCUGAGCUAACAACUGUUACCAAUCUUCUUUUCUUUUUUUGUAUGCUUUUUCUCCCCAAAUCCCUCUAGUACACAGUUGUAUAUUUUAGUUGCGGAUCCUUCUAGUUGUGGCAUGUGGGAUGCCACCUCAACGUAGCCUGACGAGCAAUGCCAUGUCCGUGCCCAGGAUCUGAACCAUCGAAACCCUGGGCCACUGAAGCAGAACCUGCGAACUUAACCACUCGGCCAUGGAGCCAGCCCCUGGAAAUUUUUAUUUUCAUUAAUUUUUAGAGUCAGAGGAUCAGCGAACAUGCAUUUUCUGUUGUUUCUUGAAGCCCAAACACAGUUUUGUUCAGUAAUUGAUGAUAAAUUGGUUUAUAUUAUUAAGAGAUUGCUGGAAAUAUAAAUGCUAUUUUGUAAUUCUCAAAAGCCAUAGAAGUUGAACUUAUUCUUCUUCAUAGUUCCUAAACAAUAAGGUCUUUGCACACUUUCUCCUUGUUAUAAACAUCUGUUCACAGAGAUGGAGUGAUGAUUAAGGAACAAAAUGUCCCUGUCCUCAUGGAGGUUAAAGUCUGGAGAGAAAUCAGACAUCGAACGGGCAGUUACGUACCAGGAAGACAUCACCUCCUUAAGUACUGAACACUGUUGUUUAAUAAGAUUACAACUGAACACCAGUUCCAGAUGGAAAUGGUAAUCCUCCAUUUCUCCACCUCUGCAUUCACCAAACACCGACUACAUCUUUGAAGGAUUACUCUUGCAAAAUAACUUGGAAACUCCAGACUGUUUUGUUUAUUUGAAGAGCCCCUGACCAGGAACACUAGGGAUAAACUGAGACUACGUGGAGUUGAUGAAGCUCCCCACAGUAAGGUAGCACACUCAUUUCCAGAUGAAAUUGACCAAGCAGAUGGGCUCAAAAGGGUAAGAAACGCGGUUGGAAUGGGUUAAAUGCAUAGGAAGGCAUUCUUGUUUUCCACCCUCUCCCUUACUUCUGACCAGUAAGCUACGCUGGUUAAGUGGGUCACAGGAGAGGCUCCCAGGUGGCCCAGCCAAACUCAGGAGGUGACACUAGUGGCCCUCUGACCGGAGGGCAGCGUUUUCCAUUACAGAAGUGAAAUGAGGCUCUAAGACUGGAAAGGGGACAUUGGCAUUGGAAGGCGCCUGACUGUUACAACCUGGAGCAAAAACUCAAAGCUUUCGGUUUCCCUCCCGCCCUCC
rnacentral:lncRNA from 1 species